GCGCGCUCGGCAAUGCCUGGCGCGCCCGUGCGCGCCCGCGCCGCGCAUCGGGCGCGCGCCUGAUGCGCGGCUUCGAAGGGUGCGGCGCGCUC
rnacentral:tRNA from 1 species